CUUAUUUGUACGCAAAAUUGGCUUCGUUUUUCUUCUACCCCAAUUAACAUUUGCAGUUUAAUGGAUGAUAUUAAGGAGUUUGAGAAAUUUGAUACAAAGCUCAUGGAAGACCUAGGGAGUUCUUCAAGACCUAUUUCUUUGAUUGGAGAUGAUUAAAUUUAAGGUUUGUUGAAUGAACUAUUGGAGUUGGUGGCUUGGUGUUUAGCUAUUUGUUCUAGUUGUAAAGUUUCUUAUUAGAUGUUUUUGUAAUUUGGAUUUUGGACUUGUAAUUU